GCUUGGAAAGGAGCACAUGGGGUGGAUUUCAGCCUGACUCGCCUUUUCAGCUGGGAGCUUCUGUGCAGGGCACUUGCUACAAGACUAUUUUUAACAGUCAAAAAUUCUGGGAAAUCUGCUCAGCUCAAUUUUCACAGAGAUACUGAUGAAACUAUUUAAAACAAUCAAAGGAAGAUGGAAGAUAAUUGUAGAAAGGAGCAGUGACAGAGAAUACACGUAUGACAGGUGAGGAUAAUCCAAAAGCUAACUCCUGGAAAGACCUAAAUGGCAAGCCAUGGCACAUGUGGGUCCUUAGGAAUCAAUUGAACUUUUCAUAGUAUCAGUUUUAUCACAGACAUGGAAAACAAUUCCAAAGGUAG